GAUGAGAUGGCUGAGAUUAGGCAAUAAAUUGUAAAUUUAUCAACGAAAUUAAAUUUCUCUCAUCA
rnacentral:tRNA from 1 species